AUCAGCUGAUAGUCCAUCUGAUCUCUCACUUUGGGAAGUGCGACAGUAAUGCUAGUGAGUGUCACUAGGCUUAUGGUCCAGCAGUUUGAAGGUUCUACUGAAUGCAGUACUGGAACUUGGUGGCAGUAAAUAUCUGCCACCCCAGAAAAGCUGCUAGAUUUUCUUAGCAAAUUAACGAGUUGAGUUGGCUGUCGUUUCCUUCCUGUGUCUACAAGUCGGCUUGCAUUACCAGAUAUGUUCUUAAAGAUUCUUUCAGGAAGUUCCUCUUCGCCUUCAAGUAACAGAACAUAAUGGUGCAAUUCAGUCUCUCUCAUGUGUUCUGGUUCUGAUUGAUGAUAGUUUGGGCCCUGAA
rnacentral:misc_RNA from 1 species